rnacentral:rRNA from 1 species
GAUGAACGCUGGCGGCGUGCCUAAUACAUGCAAGUCGAGCGAACAGACGAGGAGCUUGCUCCUCUGACGUUAGCGGCGGACGGGUGAGUAACACGUGGAUAACCUACCUAUAAGACUGGGAUAACUUCGGGAAACCGGAGCUAAUACCGGAUAACAUGUUGAACCGCAUGGUUCAACAGUGAAAGACGGUCUUGCUGUCACUUAUAGAUGGAUCCGCGCCGCAUUAGCUAGUUGGUAAGGUAACGGCUUACCAAGGCAACGAUGCGUAGCCGACCUGAGAGGGUGAUCGGCCACACUGGAACUGAGACACGGUCCAGACUCCUACUGGAGGCAGCAGUAGGGAAUCUUCCGCAAUGGGCGAAAGCCUGACGGAGCAACGCCGCGUGAGUGAAGAAGGUCUUCGGAUCGUAAAACUCUGUUAUUAGGGAAGAACAAAUGUGUAAGUAACUAUGCACGUCUUGACGGUACCUAAUCAGAAAGCCACGGCUAACUACGUG